GACGAACGCUGGCGGCGUGCUUAACACAUGCAAGUCGAACGGAAAGGCCCUGCUUUUGUGGGGUGCUCGAGUGGCGAACGGGUGAGUAACACGUGAGUAACCUGCCCUUGACUUUGGGAUAACUUCAGGAAACUGGGGCUAAUACCGGAUAGGAGCUCCUGCUGCAUGGUGGGGGUUGGAAAGUUUCGGCGGUUGGGGAUGGACUCGCGGCUUAUCAGCUUGUUGGUGGGGUAGUGGCUUACCAAGGCUUUGACGGGUAGCCGGCCUGAGAGGGUGACCGGCCACAUUGGGACUGAGAUACGGCCCAGACUCCUACGGGAGGCAGCAGUGGGGAAUAUUGCACAAUGGGCGGAAGCCUGAUGCGGCAACGCCGCGUGCGGGAUGACGGCCUUCGGGUUGUAAACCGCUUUCGCCUGUGACGAGGCGUGAGUGACGGUAAUGGGUAAAGAAGCACCGGCUAACUACGUG
rnacentral:rRNA from 1 species